CCAUUUCCGCGAUAACAUUCCCCUGUUCGACCAUUUUCCCUUCGAGGCACAAUGUGCGAUUGCGCAUUGGGAACUGAAGAGUAAAGGUCAUAUGAAUAAGGGUUGGGCUUAACAUCGAAUUAUUAUCUAUAGACAAUAAAUAAAUGUAGGUGUUAAACGUUAAAAAGCUUCUAAAUGCUUAAUGGAACGUAACCAGUAAUUGUUUUAAUCAUAAUUAUUUUACUUUUUGUACGAAAUCCGGCA
rnacentral:lncRNA from 1 species